UCCCUAUGGGGUGCAGCAGGCGCGAAACCUCCACAAUGCGCGAAAGCGUGAUGGGGUUAGCCCGAGUGCUAUCCGAAAAGGAUGGCUUUUCCUUGGUGUAAAAACCCAUGGGAAUAAAGGGGGGGCAAGACUGGUGUCAGCCGCCGCGGUAAUACCAGCUCCCUGAGUGGUAAGGACGAUUAUUUGGCUUAAAGCGUCCGUAGCCGGCUUAGUGAGUCUUUUGUUAAAUCCAAUGAUUUAAUCAUUGAACUGCAGGAGAUACUGCUAUGCUAGAGGACGGGAGAGGUCGACGGUAGUCCAGGGGUAGGGGUGAAAUCCUAUAAUCCUUGGAGGACCACCAGUGGCGAAGGCGGUCGACUAGAACGUGCCUGACGGUGAGGGACGAAAGCUGGGGGAGCGAACCGGAUUAGAUACCCGGGUAGUCCCAGCUGUAAACGAUGCGGGCUAGGUGUAGGGGCAGCUACGAGCUGCUCCUGUGCCGCAGAGAAAUUGUUAAGCCCGCCGCCUGGGGAGUACGAUCGCAAGAUUGAAACUUAAAGGAAUUGGCGGGGGAGCACCACAAGGGGUGAAGGCUGCGGUUUAAUUGGAUUCAACGCCGGAA
rnacentral:rRNA from 1 species